rnacentral:lncRNA from 1 species
CCAAACAUUAAUUAAAAUAAUGGAAACACCUGACAUUUAAUUUUUAUUAUAGCAAAUAGCAUUUGACCAUGCACAACAAAAUAUUUUCCAAACCUCCAUGUAUUCUACAAAUUUAUAAUCAGAUCUUGGUCUCAUUUUUUUCCACAUAAAGUAAAUGCCAACUAAUGGCCAGUCAAGCAAAUUACACUUGUCCCUAGUACAGCCUACAAGAGACACAAGUGGAGGCAUGCAUGCAAGCCUAACCACGCAUGCAUGCCAGAUGUAAUGCCUCUCCAAACCGACAUAGCUACUAACCCCACUAUAAAUAGGAGCCAUUCCUUUCACUGUGGUCCAUUCCACCUCACACACACACAUACACUGGAGUACCACCACCACUUGCCUUUUCACCUUCUGCCACACUGCUGUCCUUCACUGCGGUGAAGCCCUUUGGGUCGCAUGCGCCAUCAGGUACUAAUCAAGUACCUUGUUGUGUUAGCCCUUCUUGCUUGACUUCUUGUCUAUCUUCACCUCGGUUUGAAUCAGUCCAUGAGCAUCUAUUCACCUUGAUCUAUUUAUCUUGCGGUAAAAAGAACAAAAUGUUUGCGUAAACACCCAAGUUAGUCAAAACUAAUUAGAUCAAUUGCAAAAGCUUGUAAAAGUUUCUGUGAAUGACAUCUAUGGCUUGUACUAGAUCUAACAUGCCAAGAAUCAAAUCCUAAGUACUAGUAACUUGCUAAGACAUGUAUGUGUGUAUCCAAAAGAUCAAUCUUCCUGUGUAUACUACCUUGUUCUAAUUAUUAAUCCCUGCCAAUCUGUAGCAAAAAUUGAGUGAUUGAUGUUUAUAAUCUACUCACAAGUAAUUAAUUUUGGAGUUUCACUGCCACUAUUUGCUUCUAUAUGGUGUUCAAGGAUGAGUAGCACUAGUUAGGAACAGCAUUUAGAUCUAAUCAGUAGCAAUACCAUGACCACGCCAUAGAUUAAAUCUUGAUUAAUCUCAUGGCCUUGAGAUAAACAAAGAGAAAGAAGGCAAUAUGGCUGAGUGGGCAAUAGUAGGGCCUGAGAUAAAAUGAACACUAUAUGCACACCCACGUUGACAUCUAGCAGGCACUCGAUGUGAAAUUUGGAACACUUAUAGAGAAGGAAUCAGAAUUAGUACUUACCAAUAGUAGCAGUAGGAUGUGGCUAGUCCACACCGUUAGCAGCAGAGCCAUGCGACCGAGCAGCGCCGGUGAAGCCGCACACGCCCGACGCCCGUGGCUGCACGCCUCGUGCGUGUGGCUGCACUGGGGGAGGAUGUAGGCAUGGAGAUGUCGUUGCCGCUGCAGCCGGUGGCAAGCCCACCGGACCUGAAUUAGGCGGCACUAGGAUUGAUUGGUGGCGAUGUUUUUGGCGGCGGCGGAUAAAAUAAAUAGGGGGAAAUGGUAGAGGGAGACGAGGAGAAUCUGUAGGUGUCCACCGUGUCGCCGGAGAUGCCCGGACGGGGCAGAUCGAGGCGGCGGCGGCCAUGCUCUGUUCUUGGGGAGAGAGAGAUAGGUGGGUGGCUGGUUCUGUUCAGGGGAUAGCAGAGAAGACGAGGAGAGGAACGAGCUGGGUUCAACGAGUAAAGUACUAGUAGUGCAGGCUACUGUUUCCUUUUUACUUAUCAUUUUUUUACUCUCUAGACUGGAUGGCAUACGUGCAUGCUACUCUGAUUUGGAUGGUUUGAUGCAUUUUAUCUCUCAAUGAAACACUAGGACGUAUCACAACCUAGUUAAUUAAUUAUGGCUUGCCCAACAUGGCCGUGUUGCUGGAUCUUUAGAUUUUAAAUUAGGAAAUAUAAACAUGGUUGUGAAAUAAUUAUCAGGAGCCGAUCUCGGAUCCGUAGGAGCCACGCCCGGUGGUUCCGAGUUGGUCGAAGCACUAUUCGGCACGUCGUCAUCUCCUUGACCAUGUCUUGAUAAAUGUUUUCCGGGCUAUGGGUCAUUUCCAAAAUUUUGCAUAAGAUUUUAAAAUAAAUAUUUUUCAUAAAUAAAAUGAAAUUUGGAUUAGGUGGAUCCACUGAUUUGGCAAUUGGACCAGAUCAGGUGAAGCAUCUGUAUUAAGUAGUUGUGACCCGGGUAGGGUUACAAUAUAAAUAAAUAUUUGGUGGGUAUGGGAGCUCAUGUUGGUGAAAGCAACCCAGGGAGGGUCGGCUUGGAUGGCGGGCUCCUCUACAUAGGGUAUCACAUUAGGACACAACCAACUGGCGCUUACUUCAAAAGCGGCGCAAACCGUACUGACCAUAGACCUGGAAUGGGACGGGCUGAACCAACUACCCAUGCCAAGUAGCUGCCUCUGCAUGGGUGAGAAGGUGGCUGUAGCCGGGUAGGUACAAUCACCCUAGGGCGGGACCGCCGGUCAGGGGUCUCGACCCGCGGGCCUUUAGUAAGGCAAGGUGGAAAAGCAGAGGUAGUGUACGGGCUGGUUAAAGGUUCUGGUUCCUUGGUCUAGUCGUGUGCACGGGUAGCGCAUGGACGACUUGGACCAAGUGAUGCUAUGGGUAAAGCAGUACACCUCUGAUCAGAGUAAAUGUGAUAUCACUCCCAGCUUCCGGGUUUGGAAGUGCGUCGUGUGGGUUUUCCUCUGACAUAGGAUGUAAGAUCCCACGUCGCUCUGUCGCCAGUAGAUUUUAUAAAUAAAAUUUGGUUUUCAACAAAAUGGGCUAAGGGAAAAUAUUUUUACCUAGAAAGUAUUUUGAGCUAAUGGCUCGGUGGUUGUAGCCGUGGCCGGUAAAGUUAUUCCUCUGUAAAGACUCUUGCAUCCACUUUUCCCGGCGACUUGCGGAGUACGUAUUUUAUAUGUGCUCAGCUGCACUUAUGUUGUUUUUCAGAACAAGAGAGUUAUGAGAACUCUGAGGUGAUAGAGAAUGGUACUUAUGAUGAAUCUGGUCAUCUUAAUGACUUCGGUUAUUCGGAAGUGGAGUAUGUUUAUGAGGAAGUCGACAAUCAAGGCUAUGAAGAGUAGAUGCCCUCCAUGGUUGGUUUAGAAGGCACGUAACUAGAAGUGGAUGACGAUCUAUCGUCAUGGUCGCUUAGGCUUAGUCGACACUUGAGGUGUCAAUGUAAUAAAAGCUUGCCUACUCAUGGCAGCUGCACCGUCUUGUACAUGAUACUGUUCUCCUUCACUGAUCCUAGCGCAACUCUGAAGUGACAGCUUCCGUUACGCCUGACUCUGUCGGACGUAACGGGGCAUCACAAUAAGUUCGACCGCUGUCAUGUGAUCCAUUCCCGGAUCACUAUUGUACCCCUUGACUAACUCAUGGCAAGGCACACUUCAGGUGCGGUACACAGCAUAGCA